GGAGCGGGAGCGGGAGAGGGAGGGGAGGGCUCCGGCCCCGACCUCGGCGCGGACCGCGCUCCUAAUUAGCCCCGGAGCAGGGACUAAUUAAACCCGGAGGGAGGGAGUGCUGCAGCCUGGUUUGUUUUCCACAUGUUCAAGAAAGACAAAACAACGCUUUCAAGAGUCUUGAUGCAUCUCACGAGCCUCUGCUCUCCUAAAUCCCUCCCUCAGUUCUCAGCUCCCAGGAUUUCUCCAAUACCUGCUUGAAACCUGCACCAAGAGGACAGCAUCACUCUCAAUGGGAUUUUUCCAUGUCUCAUUUCAGGAUGCACUGUAUCUCCCAUGGGAAUGUUCUUCAGCCAUUCCAGAGGCAUCCUGGAGUCAGCAAGGACAAAACCCCCAAACACAAGGACAUGGGGGGCUGGCAGAGUCCAUAGGCAGCAGCAAAGUCAAGAUGGAAGAUGGGUUUGGAAAAAAGUCAAGGUCUGAAAGGUGUUACCUGCAACAACAUCAGUCAGCAAGCAGGAGGAAGGAGCAAAGAGAGGAAAAAAAUGAAGGGACUGAGAUCUGCUGGCUGCACAGAGCAGGAGGGAGAAUGGUGUCCAGAGACAUCAGGAAACACAUGGAGAGAGGAGGAUCCUCCACAGGAAAUGGCAGAUCCUUUAGACUUCAAGGACAAUGUGGAGAACAAACAGGAGAAGCUUUUUUCCACCUCUACAGCAUAUUCCACACUUAUGCCAUUAUAAUCCAGGGAUAACAAAGAAAAUCUCAGAGAAAUAAGGAUGAUGCACAGUUCUGUCCUGACAGAUACCAUGUGCCUUCACAGCUUCACCUUCCACCUAUGGUGGUUUUUCAGCAGAAACUCAACUACACAGAACUUGGGGACUUCAUAAAUUCUUAAUAGAAUUUUAUUGGUGUAAGAGAAAUGAAAGGGAACAGCCAACAGGGCAAGAACUUGCAGGUGUUGAAAACCACCUCACUGGAAAUUAAAUUAAAUUAAAUUAAAUUACUCCUUUGAUUAAAAAAAAAAAAAAAACAAAACCACUUUAAAGGACCUUCCAAGAAUGUAAGGCCUCUCCAAAUCAAGAUGACACACAAAACAUAUUGUAGCAAGUUAUGUCUCAAGCCCUAAUAAUUUAAGGCCAAAAAUAAAAAGAGGUUCUGAAAUCUGAACUCCUGAGGACAUCAGGGGAAAGACUUUUCCCCGAGAUAUAAAGCUGGACAGCCACAGGAGAAUGUGAAUGUCCAUUAAAUGAUGGAAGUGCAAGAAUUAAAUGAAAUAUGGGGUCACUUUACUGCAGAGGAAUUUAUGGAAGCUUCCAUGUUAAAGCUUUUCCUUAUGAGGGAUACGAGGGAGACAUCACCCCAAAUUGAAGAUCACAAGAAGAGGCUUUAUAAUCAAUAAGUAAAGAUAAUGGGAAGAGAAUUCCUGUAUGGGACAGCACUUUGAGAAAUGUUCCAAAAUCCCAUCCUUGGAUUCCAUGAUUAGUGACAUAGAAAGUUCAUUCCAAACUCACACUCCUGUGAGCAAAUUUACAUGGGACAUUUUUCUAAUCCAUCACCUCAUGCAGUAAUUGAGAAUUAAUUUUAUAAGGCUGUAUUUAAAGAGUAUUAAUGAGCUUAUUUACAAUGUCUGCCUGUUAGGGAUAUCAAUAAAUAAAAAAAAAUUAAUCAAAAUGUUUUAUAACCUUUUAUUUCAAUAAAAGCAGUGCUGUAAAAA